CGUAACUGACGCUGAGGAGCGAAAGCGUGGGGAGCGAACAGGAUUAGAUACCCUGGUAGUCCACGCCGUAAACGGUGGGUGCUAGUUGUGGGUCACAUUCCACGUGAUCCGUGACGCAGCUAACGCAUUAAGCACCCCGCCUGGGGAGUACGGUCGCAAGACUAAAACUCAAAGGAAUUGACGGGGGCCCGCACAAGCAGCGGAGCAUGCGGAUUAAUUCGAUGCAACGCGAAGAACCUUACCAAGGCUUGACAUAUAGAGGAAACCUGCAGAAAUGUAGGCCCCAGCAAUGGUCUCUAUACAGGUGGUGCAUGGUUGUCGUCAGCUCGUGUCGUGAGAUGUUGGGUUAAGUCCCGCAACGAGCGCAACCCUCGUCCUAUGUUGCCAGCACGUAAUGGUGGGAACUCAUGGGAGACUGCCGGGGUCAACUCGGAGGAAGGUGGGGAUGACGUCAAAUCAUCAUGCCCCUUAUGUCUUGGGCUUCACGCAUGCUACAAUGGCCGAUACAAAGGGCUGCAAUACCGCAAGGUGGAGCGAAUCCCAAAAAGUCGGUCUCAGUUCGGAUUGGGGUCUGCAACUCGACCCCAUGAAGUUGGAGUUGCUAGUAAUCGUAGAUCAGCAACGCUACGGUGAUACGUUCCCGGGCCUUGUACACACCGCCCGUCAAGUCACGAAAGUCGGUACAACCCGAAGCCGGUGCCUAACCGUAAGGAAGGAGC
rnacentral:rRNA from 1 species